UACGGGGGGGGCAAGCGUUGUUCGGAAUUACUGGGCGUAAAGGGCGCGUAGGCGGCCUGUUAAGUCGGACGUGAAAUCCCUCGGCUCAACCGGGGAACUGCGUCUGAUACUGGCGGGCUUGAAUUCGGGAGAGGGAUGUGGAAUUCCAGGUGUAGCGGUGAAAUGCGUAGAUAUCUGGAGGAACACCGGUGGCGAAGGCGGCGUCCUGGACCAACACUGACACUGAGGAGCGAAAGCUAGGGGAGCAAACGGG
rnacentral:rRNA from 1 species